AGAACGAACGCUGGCGGCAGGCUUAACACAUGCAAGUCGAACGCCCCGCAAGGGGAGUGGCAGACGGGUGAGUAACACGUGGGAACGUCCCCCUCGGUUCGGAAUAACUCAGGGAAACUUGAGCUAAUACCGAAUACGUCCGAGAGGAGAAAGAUUUAUCGCCGAGGGAUCGGCCCGCGUCUGAUUAGCUAGUUGGUGAGGUAACGGCUCACCAAGGCGACGAUCAGUAGCUGGUCUGAGAGGAUGGCCAGCCACACUGGGACUGAGACACGGCCCAGACUCCUACGGGAGGCAGCAGUGGGGAAUCUUGGACAAUGGGCGCAAGCCUGAUCCAGCCAUGCCGCGUGAGUGAUGAAGGCCUUAGGGUUGUAAAGCUCUUUCGACGGGGACGAUAAUGACGGUACCGUAGAAGAAGCCCCGGCUAACUUCGUGCCAGCAGCCGC
rnacentral:rRNA from 1 species